AGCGAACGCUGGCGGCAGGCCUAACACAUGCAAGUCGAACGAACCUUUCGGGGUUAGUGGCGGACGGGUGAGUAACACGUGGGAACGUGCCUUUAGGUUCGGAAUAACUCAGGGAAACUUUUGCUAAUACCGAAUGUUCCCUUCGGGGGAAAGAUUUAUCGCCUUUAGAUCGGCCCGCGUCUGAUUAGCUAGUUGGUUGAGGUAAUGGCUCACCAAGGCGACGAUCAGUAGCUGGUCUGAGAGGAUGAUCAGCCACAUUGGGACUGAGACACGGCCCAAACUCCUACGGGAGGCAGCAGUGGGGAAUCUUGCGCAAUGGGCGAAAGCCUGACGCAGCCAUGCCGCGUGAAUGAUGAAGGUCUUAGGAUUGUAAAAUUCUUUCACCGGGGACGAUAAUGACGGUACCCGGAGAAGAAGCCCCGGCUAACUUCGUG
rnacentral:rRNA from 1 species